rnacentral:rRNA from 1 species
GACGAACGCUGGCGGCGUGCUUAACACAUGCAAGUCGAACGGUGAAGCGCCUUCCUUUUUGGUGGGUGUGGAUGAGUGGCGAACAGGUGAGUAACACGUGAGUAACCUGCCCCCUUCUUCUGGAUAACCGCAUGAAAGUGUGGCUAAUACGGGAUAUUCUGGGUCUGUCGCAUGAUGGGUCUGGGAAAGAUAUUGUUUCGGUGGGGGAUGGGCUCGCGGCCUAUCAGCUUGUUGGUGGGGUGAUGGCCUACCAAGGCGGUGACGGGUAGCCGGCCUGAGAGGGUGGACGGUCACACGGGGACUGAGACACGGCCCAGACUCCUACGGGAGGCAGCAGUGGGGAAUAUUGCACAAUGGGCGCAAGCCUGAUGCAGCGACGCCGCGUGAGGGAUGGAGGCCUGCGGGUUGUGAACCUCUUUCGCCAGUGAAGCAGGCCUGCCUCGUUUGUGGGUGGGUUGACGGUAGCUGGAUAAGAAGCGCCGGCUAACUACGUG